rnacentral:rRNA from 1 species
AUUGAACGCUGGCGGCAGGCCUAACACAUGCAAGUCGAACGGUAACAGGAAGAAGCUUGCUUCUUUGCUGACGAGUGGCGGACGGGUGAGUAAUGUCUGGGAAACUGCCUGAUGGAGGGGGAUAACUACUGGAAACGGUAGCUAAUACCGCAUAACGUCGCAAGACCAAAGAGGGGGACCUUCGGGCCUCUUGCCAUCGGAUGUGCCCAGAUGGGAUUAGCUAGUUGGUGGGGUAACGGCUCACCAAGGCGACGAUCCCUAGCUGGUCUGAGGGGAUGACCAGCCACACUGGAACUGGGACACGGUCCAGACUCCUACGGGAGGCAGCAGUGGGGAAUAUUGCACAAUGGGCGCAAGCCUGAUGCAGCCAUGCCGCGUGUAUGAAGAAGGCCUUCGGGUUGUAAAGUACUUUCAGCGGGGAGGAAGGGAGUAAAGUUAAUACCUUUGCUCAUUGACGUUACCCGCAGAAGAAGCACCGGCUAACUCCGUGCCAGCCGCCGCGGUAA